rnacentral:tRNA from 1 species
GGCCCCUUCGUCUAGUGGUUAGGACACCAGGUUUUCAUCCUGUAAGCAGGAGUUCAAUUCUCCUAGGGGCUGCCA